AACCUGCCUUAUAGUGGGGGAGUAGCCUUUCGAAAGGAAGAUUAAUACCGCAUAAGAUUGUAGUAUCGCAUGAUAUAGCAAUUAAAGGAGCAAUUCGCUAUAAGAUGGACCCGCGUCGCAUUAGCUAGUUGGUGAGGUAAUGGCUCACCAAGGCGACGAUGCGUAGCCGACCUGAGAGGGUGAUCGGCCACAUUGGGACUGAGACACGGCCCAGACUCCUACGGGAGCAGCAUG
rnacentral:rRNA from 1 species